GGAGCGGUGGAUGAGUGGUUUAAGUCGCACGCCUGGAAAGCGUGUGUAGGGUAAUCCCCUACCGCGGGUUCGAAUCCCGCCUGCUCCGCCA
rnacentral:tRNA from 1 species